UUGAAAGGGAAACGAUUGAAGUCAGUCAUACCAACGGGAAAUCAACCUUUUGAGCUCGGUCUCGUGGGUUUGGAAGAGUUUCAAAGCCUUCGGAUUCGCGGGAUUGGGAUCUCUCGGUGUACUUUUUCGUACGGUUAGUCAACAUCGGUUUGAAUGUCAUUAAAUGACUGGAGGAAUGUGCUUCCGAUCUCGUAUUGAAGUGUUAUAGCCUUUGGUAGAUGUGAUGUUUGAGACCGAGGAUUGCAACGGAUACCCUUCAGGGCUAUUCGUCUGUUCUCUGAUACGUUGCCUUGAUGUCGAAAGCUUGCUUAUGAUGUUAGGGUAUUACGGUCAAAGGUUAGAACGAAUUACAUUCGUUAAGGAUGUUGACGUA
rnacentral:rRNA from 1 species